rnacentral:lncRNA from 1 species
UCCCCGCCACGGCUUCUUGCCUCAUUGGUUUCACCUUUAGGAUGGCAUAGUCCUUAGGGAUAUUUCUCCGUUUCCUCUUUGUUAAUAAACUUCUUAACAUAUUAUUCUUCGAAUAAUUCUACUAUAAAGUAACUAAUAUGAAUUUAUUUUAUCAUAUCAUGAUUGUUGGGAAUUAUGAAAUUAGCUAUUCAUAAUUAUAAAUAGAUAUACCUGUUCCGGUAGCUUUGAUGUUUCUGAGUUUUGUUGUUCCUGUUGUUCCAUAGCUUUUUCCAUUGGAGUAUAUUUUUCUAAUUAACUGAGUAAAUUUUUUGUUUGUGGAAUGGAGAGAGAGAUUUGUUUCAAAAGAAGGCUUC